UGGGGAAUCUUGGACAAUGGGGGCAACCCUGAUCCAGCCAUGCCGCGUGAGUGAUGAAGGCCUUAGGGUCGUAAAGCUCUUUCGCCUGUGAAGAUAAUGACGGUAGCAGGUAAAGAAACCCCGGCUAACUCCGUGCCAGCAGCCGCGGUAAUACGGAGGGGGUUAGCGUUGUUCGGAAUUACUGGGCGUAAAGCGCACGUAGGCGGACCAGAAAGUUGGGGGUGAAAUCCCGGGGGCUCAACCCCGGAACUGCCUCCAAAACUAUUGGUCUAGAGUUCGAGAGAGGUGAGUGGAAUUCCAAGUGUAGAGGUGAAAUUCGUAGAUAUUUGGAGGAACACCAGUGGCGAAGGCGGCUCACUGGCUCGAUACUGACGCUGAGGUGCGAAAAGUGUGGGGAGCAAAACAGGAUUAGAUACCCCUGGUAGUCCACACCGUAAAACGAUGAAUGCCAGUCGUCGGGUAGCAUGCUAUUCGGUGACACACCUAACGGAUUAAGCAUUCCGCCUGGGGAGUACGGUCGCAAGAUU
rnacentral:rRNA from 1 species